GUCAGAAACAGCUGGGACUCAUUGUGAUGUAAACAGACCUCAACCAGGGCCGGAUGAUAGAAAGUCCUCUAUCGUGCCAACAGAACCCAAUUCUGACAAUGCCAAUAACUUGACAUUGGUCGAUUGGGAAUAUGUCGUUAUGGGAGACUUUCACCAGGCCUCUGAUAACAUGUCUUAUGACCAGUUUACUGGUUCACAGUGCAGUUCCAUGUGUGUGAUGGCGAUAGUGUUUGCUCUUCUCGAAGCACCCGAUGAGUGGACUAAAUCAACAAUUCACGAAAUACUUAUUCAGGGGAACCAGGCACAUGAAA